CUGUUCAGACGCAGUUCUGUUAAUUUUGAGUCUGGAUAUUCCAGUUUCCACAGUUGGUACGUCCUUUUUGGUAGCCACGUUUUUCGGGUUUUGAUGCAUGACUGAGUGAUUCUCUGGCAUCGAGUAUUUCUGCCGCUUCUCUGUUUUGUGCAUUUUGACAGCUUCCCAGGUUCCUCAACAAUCGCCGCGGUCCUUUUUAUCCUGGUCGACAACUGAGCCAGUAUAGACUUCUUUUUAGUUUGUUUCUCCAUUCGGUCAAAUGGGUUGGGUGCUCCUCCUCAACUUUGAUCUCUCCGGCAUGGUUGAACCUACCAGUAGUUUGCAUUACUACUGGUACAGCUCUCAGCUUCACUGGAGCACUCAAGCCCCAUCACCACUUAUUAUUUUGGAUCUUUAUUUUGAUUUCAUAAUAAUCAUGAAAUUAGUUUCUUUAAUUGCAACUUGGAUAAUUAUUAUAAAGUUGUGUUGAAUAAUGAGCG
rnacentral:lncRNA from 1 species